UACGGAGGGGGCUAGCGUUGUUCGGAAUUACUGGGCGUAAAGCGCACGUAGGCGGCUUUGCAAGUUAGAGGUGAAAGCCCGGGGCUCAACUCCGGAAUUGCCUUUAAAACUGCAUCGCUAGAAUUGUGGAGAGGUAAGUGGAAUUCCGAGUGUAGAGGUGAAAUUCGUAGAUAUUCGGAAGGACACCAGUGGCGAAGGCGACUUACUGGACACAUAUUGACGCUGAGGUGCGAAAGCGUGGGGAGCAAACAGG
rnacentral:rRNA from 1 species